UACGUAGGGUGCGAGCGUUAAUCGGAAUUACUGGGCGUAAAGCGUGCGCAGGCGGUCUGUUAAGACCGAUGUGAAGUCCCCGGGCUUAACCUGGGAACUGCAUUGGUGACUGGCAGGCUUUGAGUGUGGCAGAGGGAGGUAGAAUUCCACGUGUAGCAGUGAAAUGCGUAGAGAUGUGGAGGAAUACCGAUGGCGAAGGCGGCCCCCUGGGCCAAUACUGACGCUCAUGCACGAAAGCGUGGGUAGCAAACAGG
rnacentral:rRNA from 1 species